rnacentral:lncRNA from 1 species
UCCUCUGCAAGUCCCAGAACUUUAUUUGUAAAUGGGGAAAACGGAGAACCCUGGCAGCUGGCAACCCCCCCUCCCAGCCCCCAGAGACACAGAGGGCUAAAGGAGCCUGCCUGUGAAAAGUGCCUCCGCUUUGGGCUAGUUUUGCAAAAGUUGCGAGGAGCGCAGCGGGACGGAGGGCUGUGGAGGGAGGGGGCAGGACGGGGAUGCAUGUGAUCGUCAGGCUUACCAGCCAGACAGACGGACAAGCGCUCCGCUCCGCCGGCGUUUGGCAGAUUACAAGUGAAUGCAUCAAAGCAGCGAAUAUCUCAGUGAAGUUUCUAGUCAUUGCAGUUAGCUGAGUGUCCCUGCAAGGGCCUCCUCACCAAGUGAUCUGAGUUAAAAGGCUACCACGUGAGCUUGUGCGUUGGUGGAAGCGGGGGAAGCCCAAGCAUGCCUUUGGGGACACCCGAGCCAGGAGAGGCUUGGUGAGCAGUUUGUGGUCAGCCAUGAGGAUGUACCUAGCAGGACACAGCGAGGGACUUGAGGACCAGCAGCUUUGCUUGCACACCUCCACUUUUGCAGUGGCCACAGUCUCACGGCUCCAUUUCAUGGGACAUCUCAGAAGAUUUGCAGUGGUUUUGGAAUGA